rnacentral:rRNA from 1 species
UACGUAGGUGGCAAGCGUUGUCCGGAAUUAUUGGGCGUAAAGCGCGCGCAGGCGGUCCCUUAAGUCUGAUGUGAAAGCCCACGGCUCAACCGUGGAGGGUCAUUGGAAACUGGGGGACUUGAGUACAGAAGAGGAAAGCGGAAUUCCACGUGUAGCGGUGAAAUGCGUAGAGAUGUGGAGGAACACCAGCGGCGAAGGCGGCUUUCUGGUCUGUAACUGACGCUGAGACGCGAAAGCGUGGGGAGCGAACAGG